rnacentral:sRNA from 1 species
UCCUGUGGAAAAAAAAGCACUAAACGG